rnacentral:lncRNA from 1 species
CUGGCCUUCAGUGACCUUCAGAUCCUCAUGACCUCUCCUGGGAUCCAGCCACUCGACAGCAAGUGGAAGGAAACAAGGGGGUGAGAAGAAGGAGGCCAAGGUCACUUCUAAGCAGGUCCAGAUCUGAUGAUGACCUCUCCUCACCACACUAAUUUCCAGUAAGCCACUGGGGUCAGGACUAGUUCCCAGUAGUGGAUGAUGUGGAGAGCAGCCUGAGAGCCUGUCAGUUCUUUCUUCAGCACCAAGGCAAGUUAAUGUGCAACAUUUGGCCAUUGGUCACUGGAGGGCCAGCUGGAGAGUAGGCGGCCCCAGCACUGUCAUGGGAGGUCCCAAUAUCACUCCCCUUUUCCUCUCUGACCAAAAUAAUAAAUUAUUUCUUCUCUGCCUUAGACCUGGGAGUGGAGAACACUGCUGAGGUAGUGGACAGAUGACCCACAAAGUCCCCAAGACUCAAGUCUGAUGAAGAGAACAAUACAUCCCGGCAUUAUAGGCCUAUGGAAUCAGAAAUCACAGGAGCCCACACGAAGUCCUCACUUACCUCACUUACACAGUUUUUCAAGACCCAGUGUGCUGGCACAAAUCCGUAAACUGGAUCAGACAGAAGGCAAUUUCUGGAAGAGAGAAAUAAGCAUCUGGACAAUUUUUAUAAACACCCCCUUGGCACCAGGAUGGUGUGCUUGCUGCUGACGUGUUUUGGCCAGUACAUGACCACUCUAAAGAGAAGCAUGCUGGGGGGACCUUUCCUGUCUCCAGCGAUCUGAGGGGAAGCAAGACAUUGAAUCCAUUCCUCAGCUAAGGCCUUUCUGUUCUUAUAGGCCAAAAUAAAAGGGACUCAACCUCCUGGUGUCA